GACCAAUUAUUUUUUCAGCUAUACUGGUCUUUCAGCCUAAAGGCACCUGCUGAACUACUCCUACUCUCAUUUCAAUCCAGAAAAUUCACAGGUGGUUUGUGUUAGAUUAUGGGGACCUUCAUAAUCAUCACUUUGUUGUUACUACUCUUCUCACUGUGUUUCAGUGUUUUGAUCAGGGGACUGGUUUUGCUUAUAGUCACAGAUGGUUUCUGUUUGACAGGCUGACAGGCAGACAAAAUAAAAAUGGACUGUGUUAUGACUUUUGUGGAAGCUCUUGGAAAAAAGUGCCAUCUGGUUCUGUUCUCCCAGAAUUUGCAAAAGGCUGACUUUCUCACUUUUUUCAUCCGUAAGUUAUGAACCAAAUAGUAUAUCAGAAUACAUUUGAAAACUUAAAAAGUUUUAUUAUUGAAUUGUGUUAUAAAAUGAGACUUGAGGUUUUUCUGAGAGAUUUGUGAAAGUUGA
rnacentral:lncRNA from 1 species